AUAGAACUGAAACAAUUAAAUGUCAUUUUAAAUAGGGAAUGUGGUAAUUUCUUUUUUUUUUCAGGUAAGAGUUGGAAAGAAGUUGAUACUACUGGGCGAAUGAUUUGGUGAGCUGCCUCCUCUUCCUGUCUUUAUAUGUCAACAACAUAAUCACUUAUGAAAGCUUAUUGUCUUGGUAAUAUCCUCCCACUUCGGCUUUUGCUUUACAGCCGUCAUAGUAUUUUCUAAGAUAGUUUUCAU
rnacentral:lncRNA from 1 species